UUGUUUGUUUUUUUGGCUGUGUUGGGUCUUUGUUUCUAUGCGAGCGCUUUCCCUAGUUGCGGCAAGCGGGGGCCACUGUUCAUCGCGGUGGGCGGGCCUCUCACUAUCGCGGCCUCUCUUGUUGCAGAGCACGGGCUCCAGACGCGCAGGCUCAGUAGUUGUGGCUCACGGACCCAGUCGCUCCGGGGCAUGUGCGAUCUUCCCAGACCAGAGCUCGAAUCCGUGUCCCGUGCAUUGGCAGGCAGAUUCUCAACACUGCGCCACCAGGGAAACUCCGGAAUAAAGCCUUUUUGUAGUCAUGAUAUUUGAUUGAUGUAGAAGGCAUGUGGCCAGAUGAUGCAAUUGAAUACUGGUGUUUUAUCUUUACAAGUUCUCCGUCAUUCCAUAAGAAAGCUGCUCGUCUUCUGGUUUCAUAAGAGAUGGUGAACAGUGGUAAAAUAUCCAGUUGACCGAAAUUUCUAGAGUACACUUCAGGGAGCGAGUGAUGGGGUGGAAUGUUGGGGCAGAGUGAGAGAUACAGAUUCUGGUGAGACUGAGAGUCAUGCACAAAAAUUACUGGGCUGUGGUGAAGGGAGAACAAAACUAAAUCAGGUUCCUGCUGGUGGACAGGAAGCCAAGAUGAAGAAGAAUGGUGCGUAGCUGGGCAGUGUAAUUAGGCCCCUAAGUGCUGUGUCUCCUGAUAGUAAUUAUGAACAGAAACCAAAUAAUAGUUACUAAUAACAUGGAGGUGACCAAUCCUUGAGAGCUGAGGCAGAGAGAAGGAAAGAUGGCAUUAUGCCUUGUCUCUGGUGCCUUGAGUUUCCCAGGCUGGUUUGUGACCAAUCUUGGGUGAAAUCAUAACUAAGUCAUUUCUGCUAAGGUGAUCAGCUUUCGUGGGGUCCUUUCUCUGCACUCUGUCCAAUGGUAAAGCCCACUGGUUUAUGCCUCCUGGAAAACAGUUAUUCCAAAGCAGUAUAAGUGAAGCAUUGAUGAAACAGCCAUGAAGAGCAUGUUUCCACAUGGCCUCGCACCACCUUUUCAAAGUGCUGUAAAACUUUUUUCAUCCAAAAAUCAGUAACAGAAAAGGAUUGGGAUCAAAUCCCGUACAGAGGUAGUGUAAGAAAAAAGAGAAUAAGGAGCAGAAUAGCAUGUCUUCAGACAAUAAAAUCAAGUUGGAAAAGACAGGUCCACAAAACAGAUCAAAACUGUAACCUAUUAUUUCAAAGUGGGCUAAAAGAUGUUAGGAAAAACAAUGCGAAAGAUGAAAGAACAUGGAUCGAGGAGGGAAUGGGAAGUUAUUGUUUAGUGGCUAUAGAGUCUCUGUUUGGGAUGGUGGAAAAGUUCUGGAAAUGGUAAAUGCUGAUAAAUGCCACCUAUGGGUGUUUGGUUUUAGUUGAUCUUCUUCCAUGAAAGGGUUUGGAGAGAUUCAGAAGCUAUGCUGCUGCCUCCAUCUUUCUGAUGUCCUGCUCAAUCUUUUGACAUAAUUAUUUUGAAUUUGCACAGUGGUGAUGGUUGCACAGCAUUGUGAAUGUAUUUAAUGUCACUGAAUUGUAUACUUGAAAAUGGUUGAAAUAAUAAAUUUUGUUUUAUGUA